rnacentral:rRNA from 1 species
GAACUGAAGAGUUUGAUCAUGGCUCAGAUUGAACGCUGGCGGCAGGCCUAACACAUGCAAGUCGAGCGGAUGAGGGGUGCUUGCACUCCGAUUCAGCGGCGGACGGGUGAGUAAUGCCUAGGAAUCUGCCCGAUAGUGGGGGACAACGUUUCGAAAGGAACGCUAAUACCGCAUACGUCCUACGGGAGAAAGUGGGGGCUCUUCGGACCUCACG